CUCCGUAACACGUGGCCAAUCUACCCUUCAGAGGGCCAUAACCUCGGGAAACUGAGGCUAAUAGCUCAUACGGGUCUCACGCUGGAAUGCCGAGACCUCGAAACGCUCCGGCGCUGGAGGAUGAGGCUGCGGCCGAUUAGGUCGACGGUGGGGUAACGGCCCACCGUGCCGAUAAUCGGUACGGGUUGUGAGAGCAAGAACCCGGAGACGGAAUCUGAGACAAGAUUCCGGGCCCUACGGGGCGCAGCAGGCGCGAAACCUUUACACUGCACGCCAGUGCGAUAAGGGGACUCCAAGUGCGAGGGCAUACAGUCCUCGCUUUUCUGUACCGUAAGGAGGUACACGAAUAAGGGCUGGGCAAGACCGGUGCCAGCCGCCGCGGUAAUACCGGCAGCCCGAGUGAUGACCGCUGUUAUUGGGCCUAAAGCGUCCGUAGCCG
rnacentral:rRNA from 1 species